GGAGCUAACUUUGAGAGUGAGCUAAUAGCAGAACUGCUCAGGUUUUCUGGAGUCUCCAAAUCACGUUCUACAGCAUACCACCCCAUGGGAAAUGGAGGAACCGAAAGAUUCAACGGAACACUGGGGAACAUGUUGCGGUCUCUUCCUCUCCGGGAUAAAAACAAUUGGCCUCAGCAAGUGCAAACUCUGACAUUUGCAUAUAAUGCAACGGUGCAUGAAACCACAGGAUAUGCACCUUUCCAGCUUAUGUUUUGUCCAAGGCUACCCGUGGAUGUGAUGUUCAGGCAAGUAUUGCAUGACCCAGUGGUUGUCGACUACAAAAGCUAUGCGAAGACACUCAUGUCACAUCUCCAUGAAGCAGCCAGAAUUGCACAACAACAUGCAUUCAUGGAACAAGAUAAACAGGCUAAAGGCUACAACAGAAAGGUGAAAGGCACUUACCUGAACAUUGGCGACAGGGUGCUCAUUGCAAACAAAGGUGAGAGAGGAAUGAAGAAGCUUGCUGAUAAAUGGAAUGCCACAAUGUACACAGUCAAAGAGAGAAACCUUCAGACUCACACAUACAAGCUGGAGGACAAUGCAGGCAACACAAAGGUAGAGCACCGCAACCUGGUCCUGGACAUCAGCUUUCUGCCUGUAGUGACAACUGAAGAGGAGAGGUGAGGUUGAAUCAGAGGAAGGACCGUGCACAUCUGAUCCAUUGGAGUUUUUGGAAGCGGAUGAUACAGGGGAAAGGACCAGUGGGCUAAGCUGGUAAAUCAAUUAGGGUGUUCUGUAGUUCGCUAAAGUAAUUGUCAAUAUUUUGAUCAGAGUUGUCUCGAUCAAAAUGUUCAAUGUCAUUUGCUAAAGACUCAAGCACUUCAAGACGGGGGAACUGUGAUGCCAAUUGUAAUGAAGGUGAGACUUAGCUAGCAUUACCUUAAGCAUGUCCAUCGCGCGCUGCUGUUCUCAUUGGUUGAGAGGCAGGGACGGAACAGCUGUCAAUAAUCUCAUGGAAAUGCACAGAUGAGGCUGGACUAUCCUGAAAUGUGCUGCUCCCUGCUUUGGAGACAGGAGCACAGGUUAAGGUGUCAUGUGUCAUUUGCUGUAAAGAACACUGAGCAUAAUACCUUCUAGAAGAUAAGCUACAUGUCUCCUCAAUGUCUGUAUCAGAGAGAUAGGAAGAGAUUGUUAACCAUUCCUUAAGGGAGUAGUGUGAACCAGAGUAACCUGAAUCACUUUGGCUGAGAGACUGACGUGGGGGAGGACCUUCUGCUCUAAGCCUAAACAAUUCCUCCUUGUGUGAGCAGAGUUCUAACUCUGCUGAGUGCAGGUCUUCUAAGUAGCGUAGGGCUUUCCUAUGAACUGUCUUAACUGCGUGGAGCAGACUAGCAUUUUGCACUAUUAGGGAAUCUACCUCCACUUCUAAUGCUGAUUUGCUCUGAAAGGCAAGGUUGUUUUGCCUGUGAAAAAUCAGAAACAAACAUCUAAACAAUGGGCCUUUAGAUACACUUUGUGUAUCGCACCUGUUGUUCAGUAGUGAGUCUAUUUCUUUCCUACACUCACUGAAAUUCAACUUGCUGAUGAAUACAGGGUAGCCUGGGUUAAGGCUCUGUUCAAGGGAAGAAAGAAACUGCUCUACAUAGGUGUUCUCCAUUGUUGUGUGGGAUGAGGUGUUAUCUUAUGCUAAUUGGCUAUGGUGUAUGGAGACAAAAUACUCUCAAAAAGGUCACAAAUGUCUAACACAUGAUCUGCAAGCGAAACAUAGGAGUCACACAUGCGUACAACGAUUUGUGUGUAACUUUUUGUACUAUGUUUUUCUAUUUGCAUGUUGUAUUCAUUUCCUUGUAUUCACAGAGGUGCCCUAUAUGCCAGAGGAACAUCCUAAAGUCAUGGCUCCCUUAUCACGCAAGUGACAGAUACAUAUAAUACGGUCCAGCUGUUCCUCAAGCAAUUGAAGCAGGGAGGAGAGCACCAGGGAACUCUUGUUCUGACACUGGAUGCGAGGGACAAUGAUGAGGAGCAAGAUUUGUCCCUCAUUUCCUUUUACAGGAGCAGCGUGAGAACACCCAAUGGGCAGCACCUUUUUGCUGCCGCAUACAUGGUAGUACUUCCAAAAUUAACUACGGUACAUUUAAGACCAAAACAUUUUUACUUACUAUACCUUUUUUGUAGGGGAUGCUGCAAUUAGUAGAGGUGUGACGAGACACGUCCUCUCAUCAGCCAUCACAAAACUAAAACAUGGACUUCAAAUGAACUUUGGUAUUAAUUGUUAUUUUUCGUUAUCUUUCAAUGCAAUUAGUAUAUUUGCCAUUGGUAAUAAGACAUUUGUCUUCUUGGGGAAGAGACCUCAACGUUGUCCAACCUGUGUCUGGAGUGGUAUUUCCCUGUACCCACCAAUAAACUCCUCCUUUUACAGCAGCUUCUCAGUCACGCUGAUGAUGAGAAGGGAGUCUGGAUGUUGUCUCUCCAUACUGGUGAUCUGGUCAGCCAGGUGUUGUUGACACAGGCCUGAGGUGGGAUAUAAACACCAACCAGAAUGAAGGAGAAAAACUCAACGCGGUGAAUAAAAAGGUUUGCAGUUGAUGCAAAUAGUCUGUAUUUGAGGAGUACAUAUUUUCCUUGACACAAUGAUGUUUUAAAUGAAAGUGUAUGAAUACAACAUUGAUUAAGUCAAAUUGACAGGUUCUCGGUCAACUCAAUAUGCAAAUAAAGCAGGUGAAGAAAGGACUGAAAGAAACUGGUAUCUGGCCACUACUUAACUUGAGACCAGACGUGGUGCCUGUCCUUUUUCCUAGAGAAUGUGAAGCUGAAAUCAACCCUGAGAGGGUCCUGCAGUCCAUCAUUUGGCUUCAUGUGAGGCAGACCAACGAUAGUGACAGUGAUGACUUGGAAAAUGAGACAAUGCAAGUUACAGGAUUUUUUCGCCAGUUUGUGGAAGAAGCAUCUGCAGACAGUCUUCGCGAGCUCAUGAGAUUCUGGGUUGGCUGGGAAGUACCAUGCAAAAACCUGAAGCUGGAAGAAGUGCAGUCCACAGGACCAAGACACCUUCCUACCUCAUCCACCUGCAAUGAGUGCUUACGGCUGCCAAAUCAUUAUACAUCUUAUGCUGCCCUCAAGGCAGACAUGAUCUUAUGUCUGAGGUCCGUAGAGAGUGGCUUUGUCCUUGUUCUUGGUACUUGCUCUAUGCCGUAGUUCCGUUAAAACACAGAACAGUUACUGGACUGCUAACCAUGUCAGUUAUGACAUCAGUUGUCUAUGAGUUAGCACAGCACAAAGUCACUCAAUAUGUUAAAGGGAUAGUUCAGUGGGGUUGUGUGAGUUACAUAUGCAUAAUUAAUAUGUUACCUUAUGGAGAUGAUGAUCAGUGAUAUCAUUUAACAGAGUUUGGGGGAGAUAUUGAAGUCGCGCAAGUCUGAGUCCCACUGUUAAAAUGUGGCGAAAAAGUCGGUCUCAGGUGCUCCUCUUUGCAACAGUGGGACUGUGACUUUUGAGACUUCCACUUCUCCUCCUUACUCUGUUAAAUGACAUCGCUGAUCACCAUCUCCAUAAGGUAUAAUUAUGCAUAAGUAACUCAUACAACCCCACUUCAAAAAUCACUGAACUAUCCCUUUAAUGUAUUUGUUAGGAUAUUGUGAUGACUUAUGACAAAAUAUUGAAAACAACUGUUUUUAUAUUCAUUUUCACAGGGAUUUUGGAUUUUAUUUGUACCGAUUUUUUAUUGAAAGGAAUUUUGGAUUUUAAUUGCAAAGAAAUGCUGUUUUAGGUAUAUUAAAUACCAAUUCACAUACUUGCCUUCUAUGGUGCACAGAAAACCUGCUGUUGUUACUUCUGUUAUGCUGUUCAUAAAAAAGUGCUUGGUCGGCACCGCUGAGGACGCUGGCACUGUCUGUUUCGCCGCUUCUCCAGUCGAGCCAAAACAACGCCGAGUUUUUAAAUAAAACAAACUUUUUUUUUUUUU